rnacentral:rRNA from 1 species
AAUGAACGCUGGCGGCAGGCCUAACACAUGCAAGUCGAACGAAGCCUUCGGGCUUAGUGGCGGACGGGUGAGUAACGCGUGGGAACGUGGCCCUUGGUACGGAAUAGCCCCGGGCAACUGGGAGUAAUAACGUAAGUGGUCGAAAGACGAAAGAGUUGUCGCCAAAGGCUUGGCCCGCGUUGGAUUAGGUAGUUGGUGGGGGAAUGGCCUACCAAGCCGACGAUCCAUAGCUGGUUUGGGAGGAUGAUCGGCCACACUGGGACUGAGACACGGCCCAGACUCCUACGGGAGGCAGCAGUGGGGAAUCUUAGACAAUGGGGGAAACCCUGAUCUAGCCAUGCCGCGUGAUCGAUGAAGGCCUUAGGGUUGUAAAGAUCUUUCAGAUGGGAAGAUAAUGACGGUACCAUCAGAAGAAGCCCCGGCUAACUCCGUGCCAGCCGCCGCGGUAAUAC